rnacentral:rRNA from 1 species
GAUCAUGGCUCAGGAUGAACGCUAGCUACAGGCUUAACACAUGCAAGUCGAGGGGCAGCAUUUUAGUUUGCUUGCAAACUAAAGAUGGCGACCGGCGCACGGGUGAGUAACACGUAUCCAACCUGCCGAUAACUCGGGGAUAGCCUUUCGAAAGAAAGAUUAAUGUCCGAUAGUAUAUUUUCUCCGCAUGGCGAGAAUAUUAAAGAAUUUCGGUUAUCGAUGGGGAUGCGUUCCAUUAGUUUGUUGGG